rnacentral:rRNA from 1 species
UACGUAGGGUGCGAGCGUUGUCCGGAAUUAUUGGGCGUAAAGAGCUCGUAGGCGGUGUGUCGCGUCGGUCGUGAAAACUUGGGGCUUAACCCUGAGCUUGCGGUCGAUACGGGCAUCACUGGAGUUCGGCAGGGGAGACUGGAAUUCCUGGUGUAGCGGUGAAAUGCGCAGAUAUCUGGAGGAACACCGGUGGCGAAGGCGGCAUCCUGGACCAAUACUGACGCUGAGUGAGCGAAAGCCAGGGGAGCAAACGGG